GACGAACCGUGCGAACGUUGUUCGGAUUCACUGGGCUUAAAGGGCGCGUAGGCGGGCCGUCAAGUCUGUGGUGAAAGCCCCCGGCUUAACCGGGGAAGUGCCGCGGAUACUGGCGGUCUCGAGGGGUGCAGGGGCAUGUGGAACUUCCGGUGGAGCGGUGAAAUGCGUAGAUAUCGGAAGGAACGCCGGUGGCGAAAGCGACGUGCUGGACACCUACUGACGCUGAGGCGCGAAAGCUAGGGGAG
rnacentral:rRNA from 1 species